CACGUAGGGGGCGAGCGUUGUCCGGAUUUAUUGGGCGUAAAGAGCUCGUAGGCGGUUCGGCAAGUCGGGUGUGAAAUUUCGAGGCUCAACCUCGAAACGCCACUCGAUACUGCUGUGACUGGAGUCCGGUAGAGGAGUGCGGAAUUCCUGGUGUAGCGGUGAAAUGCGCAGAUAUCAGGAGGACACCAACGGCGAAGGCAGCACUCUGGGCCGGUACUGACGCUGAGGAGCGAAAGCGUGGGGAGCAAACAGG
rnacentral:rRNA from 1 species